rnacentral:rRNA from 1 species
UACGUAGGGGGCAAGCGUUGUCCGGAUUUACUGGGCGUAAAGAGCGUGUAGGCGGCUAAGCAGGUCCGUUGUGAAAACUGGAGGUUUAACCUCCAGACGUCGACGGAAACCGCGUGGCUAGAGUCCGGAAGAGGAGAGUGGAAUUCCUGGUGUAGCGGUGAAAUGCGCAGAUAUCAGGAAGAACACCAAUGGCGAAGGCAGCUCUCUGGGACGGUACUGACGCUGAGACGCGAAAGCGUGGGGAGCGAACAGG